rnacentral:rRNA from 1 species
AACGAACGCUGGCGGCAGGCUUAACACAUGCAAGUUGAACGGGAUUUGCUGAGUGCUUGCACUAUGCAAAGAGAGUAGUGCACUGGUGAGUAACACGUGGGCACAUACCAAAGACGGGUGGAUAACGUUGGGAAAUUGGCGAUAAUACCGCAUACGCCCCGAGGGGGGAAGAUGUAUUGGUCUAAGAUUGACCCGCGCAACAUAAGGUAGUUGGUUAGGUAACGGCUAACCAGACCUACGAUGUUUAGCUGGGCUGAGAGGACGAUCAGCCACACUGGAACUGAGACACGGUCCAGACUCAUACGGGAGGCAGCAGUGAGGAAUAUUGGGCAAUGGGGGCAACCCUGACCCAGCCAUGCCGCGUGAGUGAAGAAGGUUUUCGGAUUGUAAAGCUCUUUCGGGUGAGAAGAUAAUGACGGUAUCACCUAAAGAAGCCCCGGCAAACUUCGUGCCAGCCGCCGCAGUAA